rnacentral:tRNA from 1 species
GCGCCCGUGGCACAACGGUUAUCGCGGUUGCCUUCCACGCAAAAGGCCAGGGUUCGAUUCCUUGCCGCGGCU